GGUCAGUGAUGAGAUGUAAAAGGUCUGAAGCCUCCGUCUCCUUCCCGUCCUCCCGUCCCUCCCAGCAGUCCUCUUCAUUCGGUCCAGCUUGCUCUAGUCGUGCAUCGCUGGUUGCAGGAGGCGGCUGAUAUUUCGGACGUUUCUGCUGUGUAUAUAUAGAGUCUUUUAGAGAAUAAGAAGGCUUUAAAACAGCAGCGUCAGACAGAAGCACGACACACAGGAGGGCCGGACUGAAGGAGAACGCCUGACAGGCUCAUGAUCUCAAGUUUUCAAGCUGAGACC
rnacentral:snoRNA from 1 species